rnacentral:rRNA from 1 species
CAGCCUAACACAUGCAAGUCGAACGGCAGCACAGAGGAGCUUGCUCCUUGGGUGGCGAGUGGCGGACGGGUGAGGGAAUACAUCGGAAUCUACUCUGUCGUGGGGGAUAACGUAGGAAACUUACGCUAAUACCGCAUACGACCUACGGGUGAAAGCAGGGGAUCUUCGGACCUUGCGCGAUUGAAUGAGCCGAUGUCGGAUUAGCUAGUUGGCGGGGUAAAGGCCCACCAAGGCGACGAUCCGUAGCUGGUCUGAGAGGAUGAUCAGCCACACUGGAACUGAGACACGGUCCAGACUCCUACGGGAGGCAGCAGUGGGGAAUAUUGGACAAUGGGCGCAAGCCUGAUCCAGCCAUACCGCGUGGGCGAAGAAGGCCUUCGGGUUGUAAAGCCCUUUUGUUGGGAAAGAAAUCCAGCCGGCUAAUACCUGGUUGGGAUGACGGUACCCAAAGAAUAAGCACCGGCUAACUUCGUGCCAGCAG